AGCACAAGCAGCGGGAGCAGCAGGCAGAGGGAGAGCGAGUGACAUCUAGUGGCUAAGCUGCUUUAAAGGUAAUUACUGAAUGUCAAGAAGACAACAGGACCAACUUAAAGAGGCUCACACUGGCCAAGGAAUAUCAGCAGCAACUAACUGAAACAUGUAAAAUCUCUUUAAAAAAUUCCUCUAAGUAAGGGCUCAGAGGAAUAAUGAUAAAAUAAUUAAUAAAAUUAAUAACAAACUUUCACACAAUAUCCUGGGGAGACAGUAUAAAAUAACAUUAGAAGGAAUUCUAUUUUAUUUGGACAGAAAUCCAGACAUUCGUAUAUACCCAUAAGGCACCAUCAGCUUGUCCAUCAUGAAGUUUCACCAUAUGAGUUUUAGCAAACACAUAGCUUCGCAUAUUUAUCUCAUCCACUAUUUGAAAAUUAUGUGCCUCUCAAUUAGCAUUCAUUUAUAAAAGGGUUAUAAAAAAAUCUGAAUUUAAACAUACACAGAAAUUUUAAUUUAUCAUCCGUAAACCUGAAUCUGGGAGAAUCCAAAUGAAAAAGAAACUCCGUAAUAAAAAGCCAAAUCAAGCCAACCAACCAACCAAAC